ensembl:lncRNA
GAAAAUGUUUAAUAGUGUAUAGAGAGCAAAAACAGAUCUGAGGUGGAGGAGGGAUUCCGGAAGGACUGUUGGAAGAAGUGAAGUGAACAACUAUUUAUAUUCUCUUAUCGUUGUUAUGGUGGAAUUAUAUGGGGCAUCUGCCCUCCAAACAUUAAUUAGGAAACUCUAUCGGUGAGAACUUUCCAGAAGAUACCACUACCAGACUGUGCAUGCAGUGAUUCAGUCUCUUUCAUCACAGAUUGUCCCCCAACCUAUUUAUUCUCUCCUCUUCUUACACCAGCCAUUUGCAUGAUUACGGUCUAACUCCAUUCAUGACAGUUCUGUUUCUGCUCACGUUCUGGUUUAAUCCAUCGGCAGUUUUUCAUUAUACACAAAUCCAUUAAAAGGCUGAUGAGGGCAACAGGGUGAAGGUUCUCAAUCGUGUCACAUUUAACACGCCGGACAUCACAUUCAAACAAGGGCUUGUAUUUCACAGAAUUACAGGAUAUAGUGCAGCAAUGUCUUGUAUAUAUAGAUAAAGGGAUUACCAUGGAAAACUCCACAGAGAGAUUUGAUGCUUAAACCGUUUUUUUGAAUUGUCUAAGCACAUGAAUAAGAUAGAAAAAUAGAGAUGUGAAGCAUGAUAGUGGACAGAGAUAUCCUGACCUGGGUUCUCUAAUCCAGAUUAACAGAUACAUAGCUAUUUAUAACUCAGUUACGUCAGUAAAGGCAUAAAUAAAUAAAUAAAUAAAUAAAUAAAUAAAUAAAUAAAUAAAUAAAUAAAUUAUUUUUUUCGUAUAAUGGCAAUAAAUUGUAUAAUUGAAUCUUGUCUCUCUUUCAUGUGUAUCUCGCAUCAUCCAGUUUUAUUUUUAUUUUUAUAUAAUACAUAUUUUUCCAUCAGCAUUUUUAAAAUCAGUUUAAUUAGUUUAAUUGAAAGUUUGGCACUAUGCCAAAGUGGUCUGUUUACUGAUAACGAAAAUAGAUUUUUUAUUAUUUUAAUUUUUAUAUGUUUUUUUUUUAGGUCAUGCAAUGUAUGGCAUAACACACAGUCAAUUGGUUAUGUUAUGUUAUGUUAUGUGAUGUUAUGUUAUAUGUUAUGUUAUUUUAUGUACUAG